rnacentral:tRNA from 1 species
GGAGAGGUGCGUGAGUGGUUGAAACGGCACGUCUGGAAAGCGUGUAACCAGCAAUGGUUCUAGGGUUCGAAUCCCUACCUCUCCGCCA